rnacentral:rRNA from 1 species
ACGUAGGUGGCGAGCGUUGUCCGGAAUUACUGGGUGUAAAGGGAGAGCAGGCGGGGCGACAAGUCUGCUGUGAAAACCAUGGGCUUAACCGGGGGAGUGCAGUUGAAACUGUUUUUCUUGGGUGGAGCAGAGGCAGGCGGAAUUCCGAGUGUAGCGGUGAAAUGCGUAGAUAUUCGGAGGAACACCAGUGGCGAAGGCGGCCUGCUGGGCUUUAACUGACGCUGAGGCUCGAAAGUGUGGGGAGCAAACAG